UACAGAGGUGGCAAGCGUUGUUCGGAAUUACUGGGCGUAAAGGGCGCGUAGGUGGCCUUCUUAGUCAGACGUGAAAUCCCCAGGCUUAACCUGGGAACUGCGUCUGAUACUGGAAGGCUCGAGUUCGGGAGAGGAAUGUGGAAUUCCAGGUGUAGCGGUGAAAUGCGUAGAUAUCUGGAGGAACACCGGUGGCGAAGGCGGCAUUCUGGACCGACACUGACGCUGAGGAGCGAAAGCCAGGGGAGCAAACGGG
rnacentral:rRNA from 1 species